AUCUUAAAGAUUCUCAUUGAUUUUUGCAAUCGUAACUGAUCAUCAACAUUAAUCUACAAAUAAUCAACAAUUGAUAUGGAGUAAUCUUCUCCGAUUGAUUAAUUGAUAUAAGUCCAUUAUGUUCUCUCAGUUUCCUUUCCUUAUGUCUUCUCUUUCUCUCUUUCUCUCAUCAAGCCCUAAUGUUUGCACUGAAUUUCAAUUCCCAAACCUUUGGUCUUUUUCUCGCCAAUCCCGAAUGAAUGCUAAUCUGCAUCCGCCACGAUCACCACCACCAUAGGAAUGAAUGCUAAUUUCUAAACAUUCGGUCUUCCUCUCACCAAUCUCUAUCCCUCUCCUUGUCUCUCUGUCUCUCUCAAGAGUUGAUGAUUUGAUCUGAUGAAUACGAUAUCCUCAAUAUCUUCCCGAAAGUUGAUCAUUCUAAGGUUGAAGCUGAAGUGAUUAAGCAACAGGAAACAAAAAAGGGAUUAUCUAUAGAAAGUGAAGCUCAAGAUAAGGGAUUAAGCUUGCUGCGUAUGCGAGAGGACCUGCAAAAAGCAAUUGAGAAUGAAAACUAUUCAUGGGCAGCUGAAUUACAUGACCAAAGUUCAAAAGAUUAAGCUCAUUCAUUGGCUGCAUCGCCAAGCUUUCCAAAAUGCUCAAUUUGUAAAUUUCUUUUAGUCCAUAAAGUCAGGCACAAUAAGUUUGGACACAAAGUUGUGGUUUGUGGAAUGGAUCGUGUAUGCUGUGAAACAAGGUCGUGGACGGAAAAUGCAAAUAUUAACCAGUUGACUCGUGUUCCUGGUCAACCAUAUUAUUAGGUAGCGAAAUCAAACGCCCCAUUUUAUAUAUUUUGUAUAAUUAAGUACAAGAUAACAAAGUUUGGAAGUUUGGCAUUAAAAAAAGUUAAAGAAUUGAAUUCAUAUAAUAAUGCAAAUAUGUUGUAUUUCGCUUAACAGAUGAAAUAAAAUAGACAAAACUUCAAAAAUGGUCCCUUUGGUUUCCAAAAAUAUCAAGUUUAGUCUCCAAGUUUAAAAAACCUCACAGAUGGUCCCUGUGGUUUCAAAACUUUUAACAAAUGGUUAUUUUGCCUAACUCCGUCAGCUUUCUACCGUUAAGUGAGGGGCAUUUUCGUCAUUUCAAUAUACAGGGACCAUUUAUGAGGUUUUCUCUAUUUAAAAAAAAAGAAAAAAAUAUAAUUAUUUAAAUAAAGGGACCCUCUCUCUCCCUCUCUCUCUCUCUCUCUCUCUCUCUCUCUCUCCAUAUGCAUUGUGCACUGAUCCUCCUUAGCCUCAUUCUCUCUUCUCUCUUCUUCAUCGUCUUCAUGGCUCUCCCAUAUCAUCUUUCUCUCUCUGAUAAUCACUAGCAAUAUCAUCCUCCACAAGUGCUCAAAUUCCUUCACCCUUUCACAGAUUAUUAAACCAUACCCCUUUCCCCCCUCCCCAAUCGGUGGAUUUAAGAUCUACAGAAAAAGAA